rnacentral:rRNA from 1 species
AAUUGAUAGUCCACGAUUAAUUAAACUUAUUUUAAAAAUUUGUAUAUCGUCGUAGUUUAAUAUUUUAUAAGAAUUUUAAUAUUAAGGAAUUAUUAUAAUAAAAUAAAUCAGAUCAAGGUGCAGUUUAUAAAUAAGUAGAAAUGGGUUACAAUAAAUUUAUUUAAAUGGAUUAAGAAAUUAAAAUUUUUAUGAAGGUGGAUUUGAAAGUAAUAAAAUUAAGUUAAAUUUUAUGAUUUAGGCUCUAAGGUAUGCACAUAUUGCCCGUCACUUCCGCUUAAAGUGGGAUAAGUCGUAACAAAGUAGAUGUACUGGAAAGUGUAUCUAGAAUGACAAAUUAGAGCUUGUUAAGCAUUUUAGUUACAUUAAAAAGAAAAUUGUUAAUUCAGUUUAAUUUGAGUUGAAGAUUUUAUAUAAAUUUUUAUAAUUAAAGUAUUAUAUAGUUUAAUUAAAUUAAUGAAAUAAUUAUUAUAAUGAUAGUUAAUUAGUAUAGUGAUAGAAAAAUUAAAUAUUUGAAAUAUUAAAAUUUAUAGAAGAAGAUUUUAUAUUUUGUACCUUGUGUAUCAGGGUUUAUUAAUUAAUAAUUAAUUAUUUAAUAUUCUCGAAUUCUUAAGAGUUAAAAAAUUAUAAAUUUUAUUGUAAAAUAACUAUUUAGAAUAAUUUUUUAGUAAUGAAACGUUAUUCGUUUAAGAAAAUAUCUAGUUUCUUAAGAAAUAAAUUUAAUUUAUUUAUUAUAUUAUAUAUAAUUUAUUAUUUAAUUAUUAUAUAUAUAAUAUUUAAUAUUUUAAGGGAUAAGCUUUAAAAUAAAAUUUUAUAAAUAUUAUUUGUUAAUAAAAAUAUAUAGGAUUAGAAGUUUCUUUAUUAUUGUGUGUUAUAACUAAUUUUUAUUAAUAUUUGAUUUAUAUUUAUUUUAGGUUUUAUAUUAAGAUAGUUAAUUUAAUGUUAAAGUUAAUGAAAUAAUGAUAAAAUUAGUAUAAGUUAAUGUAUUUUUAAUUUUAAGAUUAAGGUUAAAUUAAGGAAUUCGGCAAAGUAAUUUCUCGCCUGUUUAUUAAAAACAUGUCUUUUUGAUAAUAAUUUAAAGUCUAAUCUGCCCAAUGAGUAUAUUGAAUGGCCGCGGUAUUUUGACCGUGCAAAGGUAGCAUAAUAAUUAGUUUUUUAAUUAAAAGCUGGUAUGAAUGAUUGAACGAGGAAAUAGCUGUCUCAAUUUAAAUUAAUUAGAAUUUUAUUUUUAAGUUAAAAAGCUUAAAUAAAUAUAAAAGACGAGAAGACCCUAUAGAGUUUAAUAUAUAAAUUAUUAUUAAUUUUUAAGUAUUAAAUAGUUUAUAAUAAUUAAUAUAUUUAAUUGGGGUGAUUGAAAAAUUUAAAGAACUUUUUUUUAUAUAAAAACAUUAAUGUAUGAAUUUUUGAUCCAUUGUUUUUGAUUAUAAGAUUAAAUUACCUUAGGGAUAACAGCGUAAUUUUUUUUAAGAGUUCUUAUCGAAAAAAAAGUUUGCGACCUCGAUGUUGGAUUAAAAUUAAUUUUUGGCGUAAAAGUUAGAAGUUUAGGUCUGUUCGACCUUUAAAAUUUUACAUGAUCUGAGUUCAAACCGGAGA